rnacentral:rRNA from 1 species
GACGAACGCUGGCGGCGUGCCUAAUACAUGCAAGUAGAACGCUGAAGAGAGGAGCUUGCUCUUCUUGGAUGAGUUGCGAACGGGUGAGUAACGCGUAGGUAACCUGCCUUGUAGCGGGGGAUAACUAUUGGAAACGAUAGCUAAUACCGCAUAACAAUGGAUGACACAUGUCAUUUAUUUGAAAGGGGCAAUUGCUCCACUACAAGAUGGACCUGCGUUGUAUUAGCUAGUAGGUGAGGUAAUGGCUCACCUAGGCGACGAUACAUAGCCGACCUGAGAGGGUGAUCGGCCACACUGGGACUGAGACACGGCCCAGACUCCUACGGGAGGCAGCAGUAGGGAAUCUUCGGCAAUGGGGGCAACCCUGACCGAGCAACGCCGCGUGAGUGAAGAAGGGUUUCGGAUCGUAAAGCUCUGCUGUAAGUCAAGAACGGGUGUGAGAGUGGAAAGUUCACACUGUGACGGUAGCUUACCAGAAAGGGACGGCUAACUACGUG